GAGAGAACGCAGCGAAAUGCGAUAAGUAAUGUGAAUUGCAGAAUUCAGUGAAUCAUCGAAUCUUUGAACGCACAUUGCGCCCGCUAGUAUUCUGGCGGGCAUGCCUGUCCGAGCGUCAUUUCAACCCUCAAGCCCCCGGGCUUGGUGUUGGGGAUCGGCGAGCCUCCGCGCCCGCCGUCCCCUAAAUCUAGUGGCGGUCUCGCUGUAGCUUCCUCUGCGUAGUAGCACACCUCGCACUGGGAAACAGCGCGGCCACGCCGUUAAACCCCCAACUUCUGAACGUUUGACCUCGGAUCAGGUAGGAAUACCCGCUGAACUUAAGCAUAUCAAUAAGCGGAGGA
rnacentral:misc_RNA from 1 species